ensembl:lncRNA
AGGUCCCAAACAUCAGGCUGUUCACAAAAAUAACCCAUAGGAUCAACUUUCGAAAACACAUCCUAAGACUGUAACACUGAUUAUUUUUCUAGAGGAUGCAUUGGACAUGCCAACCCUCAUUCACAAAGAUACAUUGUUGGGGGGAGGACUCAAGAUGGCGCUGUGAGAACAACCCAGGAUUGGAGCUCUCCUCGAAUCCGCAGAGAGGUAUGAAGAAAGCCAACCCUGGCUGGGUGCAGAGACUCACACCUGUAACCACAUUUUAGGAAGACGUGGCAGGAGGAUUUCUCGAGUCCAGGAGUUUGAGAUCAGCCUGGGCAACAUAAAGAGACACCUAUCUCUACAAAAAAAAAAAAAAUUAAUUAGCCGAGUGUAGUGGCACACACCUGUAAUCCCAGCUACUCCAAAGCCUGAAGCAGAAAAAUCAGGUGAGCCCAGGAAUUUGAGGCUGCUGUGAGCUAAAUCACACCACUGAACUCCAGCUUGGGCAACAGAGCAAGACCCUUUUCUUUAAAAAAAAAAAAAAAAAAAGCCAACCUCUACCAAGAUUAUUUUUAUUUCUCAAGGCUUCUAAGGUUUUACUUCCAGUAUUUUUACGUUACUUUUUUUCAUCUAGAUCUUUAAUCCAGAAGUAAUUAAUAUUUGCAUAUGGUAAAGCCAUACAUCUAGCUUUAUUUUCUUCCAGAAGUCUAGCAUGUGGAUUUGUUACAUAACUCAUGCUCUUGGUCAUGUAGUUUGUAUUUAAUAGUCAGAUGGUCAAUGUCUGUGUAAUCAAACUGUCUUUUUUUAAUGAAUUGUGCUUUGCUCUUAUGCUUAGACAGCUCUGUCCCACUGUUGGUCAGGUGAGCAUUCAAUUGCAUUUUCACCCAGGUAUUUAGUGCCAACGUUCCUUCCACAAUUAAAGAUGGGGAAGCUGAAGCCAGAAGUUGAAGAUCAGCCUGGGUAACAUAGCAAGAUCUCAUCUCU